rnacentral:rRNA from 1 species
GAUGAACGCUGGCGGCGUGCCUAACACAUGCAAGUCGAACGGAGUUUAUAAUAUGAAGUUUUCGGAUGGAUUACCAUAAACUUAGUGGCGGACGGGUGAGUAACGCGUGGGUAACCUGCCUCAUACAGGGGGAUAACAGUUGGAAACGGCUGCUAAAACCGCAUAACAUUGCGAUGCCGCAUGGCGAUGCAAUUAAAUAUUUAUAGGUAUGAGAUGGGACCGCGUCUGAUUAGCUAGUUGGUGAGGUAAUGGCUCACCAAGGCGACGAUCAGUAGCCGGCUUGAGAGAGUGACCGGCCACAUUGGGACUGAGACACGGCCCAAACUCCUACGGGAGGCAGCAGUGGGGAAUAUUGCACAAUGGGGGAAACCCUGAUGCAGCGACGCCGCGUGAGUGAAGAAGUAUUUCGGUAUGUAAAGCUCUAUCAGCAGGGAAGAAAUUGACGGUACCUGACUAAGAAGCCCCGGCUAACUACGUGCCAGCCGCCGCAGUAA